UAGGGAAUCUUCCACAAUGGACGCAAGUCUGAUGGAGCAACGCCGCGUGAGUGAAGAAGGUUUUCGGAUCGUAAAGCUCUGUUGUUGGUGAAGAAGGAUAGAGGCAGUAGCUGGUCUUUAUUUGACGGUAAUCAACCAGAAAGUCACGGCUAACUACGUGCCAGCAGCCGCGGUAAUACGUAGGUGGCAAGCGUUGUCCGGAUUUAUUGGGCGUAAAGCGAGCGCAGGCGGAAUGAUAAGUCUGAUGUGAAAGCCCACGGCUCAACCGUGGAACUGCAUCGGAAACUGUCAUUCUUGAGUGCAGAAGAGGAUAGUGGAAUUCCAUGUGUAGCGGUGGAAUGCGUAGAUAUAUGGAAGAACACCAGUGGCGAAGGCGGCUCUCUGGUCUGCAACUGACGCUGAGGCUCGAAAGCAUGGGUAGCGAACAGG
rnacentral:rRNA from 1 species